UACCAGCACCCCGAGUGGUCGGGACGUUUAUUGGGCCUAAAGCAUCCGUAGCCGGUCUACAAGUCUUCCGUUAAAUCCACCUGCUUAACAGAUGGGCUGCGGAAGAUACUAUGGAGCUAGGAGGCGGGAGAGGCAAGCGGUACUCGAUGGGUAGGGGUAAAAUCCGUUGAUCCAUUGAAGACCACCAGUGGCGAAGGCGGCUUGCCAGAACGCGCUCGACGGUGAGGGAUGAAAGCUGGGGGAG
rnacentral:rRNA from 1 species